AAAAUAGUAAACCACCUAUUGCCUUCAACUCCAGCAGCCCCAAAAGGAAUCAGUCAAGAACAAAAAGUACUCAUGCUUUCUAUCGUAUAGCAAAGUACCAUUUCAAAGUGCUUUCCCGUGUGUUACCUCACUUAUGCCUUUCAACAAAUGGGUAAGGGAGCCAGGGCAGAAAUUAUUAUCUCCAUUAUGCAGAUGAGGAAACGGAAUCACAUUUCAAACAGAACAAUCUGUCCUAGAUUGGAAAAAUAGUAAAAUGGCAAAGCUUGUUUGGACUACAGAGGAAAGUCUGAUUGCAUGUCCAUAGUCACAGAGAGGUAAUGUAACGUUAUCCAACAAUCGCUGAGCACUUGCCACACACAGGCACUGGACCAAGUACGUUGCAUGCAAAAUCUAUCUGCAUAACUCUGUGAUUUGGGUUUCACUUCCAUCAUUAUCUCCAUUUUAUGGAUGAGGAAACAGAGCUCAGAAAGAUUAAGUAACUUGUCCAAGGUAACACAGCUAUUAAGUGGUAGAGCUCUUAACUGCCAAGUUGUACAGCCUACUAAAUGCUAUGGCUUGUGUUCACCCCUUUGAGACAAUGGAGGGAGGGUUCCCAAGCCUGCCUACAGCUCUUAGCUUAUAUCUUGAGACUUUAGCCUCAGACCUAUCAGUAUCAUCUCACCAACCCUCCAGGAUAUAGAGGCCACUCAUCUGCCUUCACUCAAUAACAUUUAUGAAGAACUGAACAUGCACCAGGCACGAUGGUGCACUCCUGUAAUCCUAGUGACUCAGGAGGCUGAGGCAGGAGGAUCCCAAGUUCCAGGCCAGCAUGGGCAACUCAGCAAGAUUCACUCACUGCCCUGAUAUAAACCUGCUCCUAAUAGAAAUUCUGAUUUCAGCUGCCCCAUUCCCCAGCCAGCCACCACAUGCCCUCCCUAAGCUCCCUCUGCUCAGCUGUCCUUCCACCGACCACCACUGCUCAGCAGCAUCUGGUCUCUUCCUGGCUUCACUUCCCUCCUCACCUUGCUAAGGGCACAUGGCCUCAGCUUUGUCAUCACCCCUUGCAAACAGCCUCACUCCUUAUCCCAUCUCCUUCCACUGAAGCCACCAGGUAUAGGGCAGAUUUGAGCAUGACCCAUAUGACCUCCAGUUCCUCAUGUGCAUGCCCUUGUCUAACUCCCUACCUUCAGAUGUGGACAGGACCCACAACUUGCUUCUAACCAACAAAAUCUGGCAAGUGUGUGGGAUGUCAUAUGUCAUCCUGUGAUGCAGCUACACUCAUGGCAAAGGUGAGGCCUUAUUUAAGGCCCCCUUAGCCAGGUGCAGUGAUGCACGCCUGUAAUCUUAGCAGCUCAGGAGGCUGAGGUAGGAUUGCAUGUUCAAGGCCAGCCUUAGCCACUUAGCAAGACCUUAAGCAACUCAGCAAGACUCUGUCUCAAAAUAAAAAAUAGAAAGGGCUAGGGAUGUGGCUCAGGGUUAAGCUCCCCUGGGUUCAAUCCCAGGUACCAAAACAAAAACAAAAAACCCUCUUAGGUGAGAGGGAGAGGCUCUCCUUCUCUGCUUGCUGACUUGAUCAUGUCAGUGGUGGUGUUGGAGAAGCCCACAUGGCAAAGGAUCAUGGGUGGCCACUCAGGCCCUAGGGGCAGCCUGCAGCUGACAGCCAGCAAAAAUCCAGGUUCAAAGCCAUGGCCCUGUCAUAUGGUACAAGGAAAUGAAUUCUAUCAACAAGCUGAAUAAAUCUGAAAGUGUCUCCCCCUGCCCACUGUGGAGCUUCCAGUGAUUCUGGCCAACACUUGGUUGCAGCCUUGAGAGAUUCUGAGCCUGAGGACCAGGCUAAGCAGUGCCACACUCCUUGCCCACAGGAACUGGGCGAUAACAAAUAUGCACCUGUGAAAGCAUGUUGGUUACGUUAAUUGUUAUACAACAGUGGACAACUAAUCCCAAACCCUGAUCUCCACCUUCUAGAAAACAGCCCAUCAAUGGACCUGACUUGAUUGAUAACCAGAACCUCACAUGAGGAACCUGCUCUGCUUCUCCACCAGGCUGGCUUGGCAGGCUCCAUGAUGACUGCCUGGCCACUGUCUUCUUUCCCCAGAGCCCCAUUCCCUUCCCUACAUCCUCCUCAGAAAAUGAUCCUACUUUAUUCUUCAUGUUGAAUAUGGAGAAUUUCGAUAAUACUUGAGGACAGAAUUUUUGCCAGCUGCAAAGGGAAACGUCUGUAAUCCCAGAGGCUCAGGAGGCUGAGGGCAGGAAGAUCGUCCAUUCAAAUCCAGCCUCAGCAACUUAGUGAGCCCCUCAACAAUUUAGUGAGAUCCUAUCUCAAUAUAAGAAAAAUAUGAAAAGUCCCGGGAAUGUAGUACAGAGGUAAAGCACCCGUGGGUUCAAUCUCUUAUCAAAAAAAAAAAUUAAAAAGUGGGGGGCGGGGAGCAAGAAAUUAAAUGUAUCCAGCUAGGUACAGUAUCACUAACACCUAUAAUUUCAGCUACGUGGAAAGCUGAGGCAGGAGGAUCACAAAUUUAAGGCCAGCCUGGGCAAUUUAGCAAGACCCUGUCUCAAAAUAAAAACUAAAAGAGGGCUAGGGAUAUAGCUCAGUGGUAG
rnacentral:lncRNA from 1 species